GUCCCUCUCUCUACACUUGAUAGAGAACUGUGAUGCUGUAUCCAACCUACUCCAGGCAUUCAUUGACAUGCUUAAGGACUCUAGGGACGAAGAAGAUGUAUUGACACUGACAAGUUGGCUGGACGAGGA